AGCGGUGGAGCAUGUGGUUUAAUUCGAUGCAACGCGAAGAACCUUACCUGGUCUUGACAUCCACAGAACUUUCCAGAGAUGGAUUGGUGCCUUCGGGAACUGUGAGACAGGUGCUGCAUGGCUGUCGUCAGCUCGUGUUGUGAAAUGUUGGGUUAAGUCCCGCAACGAGCGCAACCCUUAUCCUUUGUUGCCAGCGGUCCGGCCGGGAACUCAAAGGAGACUGCCAGUGAUAAACUGGAGGAAGGUGGGGAUGACGUCAAGUCAUCAUGGCCCUUACGACCAGGGCUACACACGUGCUACAAUGGCAUAUACAAAGAGAAGCGACCUCGCGAGAGCAAGCGGACCUCAUAAAGUAUGUCGUAGUCCGGAUUGGAGUCUGCAACUCGACUCCAUGAAGUCGGAAUCGCUAGUAAUCGUAGAUCAGAAUGCUACGGUGAAUACGUUCCCGGGCCUUGUACACACCGCCCGUCACACCAUGGGAGUGGGUUGCAAAAGAAGUAGGUAGCUUAACCUUCGGGAGGGCGCUUACCACUUUGUGAUUCAUGACUGGGGUGAAGUCGUAACAAGGUAACCGUAGGGGAACCUGCGGUUGGAUCACCUCCUU
rnacentral:rRNA from 1 species